GCGACGGGACAGGACGGGACAGAGCGGUGCUGUGAGGAGCCCCCGCACAGCGCACUCGUUCCUGUCUGACCUGGAGCUUUUUUGAGGCGUUGUUCCUGCAGCUGACCUCAAGGCCAGACUCAGGACCUGGUGACCUGUGGCCUUCCGAGGCUUCUGUUCUGCAGGUGCCCUCGAGGGCAGAGCGUGGGACUUGGUGCUCCGGAGCUUUUCCAAGGCAUCUGUCCUGCUACUAGCUCCAGUCACUGACAUGGAGCAGAGACCCCCAAGAGACCCUAGGAUGGCCUGGGUGGAGGAGGAGGAAGAAGGCUCUGGAGCUGACCCAGUACAGGAGACAGAAGAGGUGGUGCCAUUCCAUCCACCACAGGAGGAUGCAGCCGUGGAGCGCACACAAGAGCAGCAAUCCAGCCGUGGCCGCUUCCACAGAACAGCGCAGCUCGUUUCAAAAUUCAUCAAGAGGAUUCGGCAAGAAGAGACCAUCACCAGGGUCGCUGCGUACAGACCAUACUCGCCCAUCUUCCAAAGCAAGACCAGUGCUGCCCUGCUGUAUAUGCUUGUAGAGGAAGAUUGUUACCAUCCA